GAGAUGUGCUCUCCUUCGGGCAAUGGAUACAGGUGGUGCAUGGUUGUCGUCAGCUCGUGCCGUGAGGUGUUGGGUUAAGUCCCGCAACGAGCGCAACCCUCAUUGUUAGUUACUACCAUUCAGUUGAGGACUCUAAUGAGACUGCCAACGAUAAGUUGGAGGAAGGUGGGGAUGACGUCAAAUCAUCAUGCCCUUUAUGACCUGGGCUACAAACGUACUACAAUGGCCGGUACAAAGAGAUGCGAAGUGGCGACAUGGAGCGAACCUCAGAAAGCCGGUCUCAGUUCAGAUUGAAGUCUGCAACUCGACUUCAUGAAGGCGGAAUCGCUAGUAAUCGCGGGUCAGCAGACCGCGGUGAAUACGUUCCCGGGUUUU
rnacentral:rRNA from 1 species